rnacentral:rRNA from 1 species
GAUGAACGCUGGCGGCGUGCCUAAUACAUGCAAGUCGAGCGAACAGACGAGGAGCUUGCUCCUCUGACGUUAGCGGCGGACGGGUGAGUAACACGUGGAUAACCUACCUAUAAGACUGGGAUAACUUCGGGAAACCGGAGCUAAUACCGGAUAAUAUAUUGAACCGCAUGGUUCAAUAGUGAAAGACGGUUUUGCUGUCACUUAUAGCUGGAUCCGCGCCGCAUUAGCUAGUUGGUAAGGUAACGGCUUACCAAGGCAACGAUGCGUAGCCGACCGGAGAGGGUGAUCGGCCACACUGGAACUGAGACACGGUCCAGACUCCUACGGGAGGCAGCAGUAGGGAAUCUUCCGCAAUGGGCGAAAGCCUGACGGAGCAACGCCGCGUGAGUGAUGAAGGUCUUCGGAUCGUAAAACUCUGUUAUUAGGGAAGAACAAAUGUGUAAGUAACUAUGCACGUCUUGACGGUACCUAAUCAGAAAGCCACGGCUAACUACGUG